AACGAACGCUGGCGGCAGGCUUAACACAUGCAAGUCGAGCGCCCCGCAAGGGGAGCGGCAGACGGGUGAGUAACGCGUGGGAAUCUACCCAUCUCUACGGAAUAACGCAUGGAAACGUGUGCUAAUACCGUAUACGUCCUUCGGGAGAAAGAUUUAUCGGAGAUGGAUGAGCCCGCGUUGGAUUAGCUAGUUGGUGGGGUAAAGGCCUACCAAGGCGACGAUCCAUAGCUGGUCUGAGAGGAUGAUCAGCCACACCGGGACUGAGACACGGCCCAGACUCCUACGGGAGGCAGCAGUGGGGAAGAUUGGACAAUGGGCGCAAGCCUGAUCCAGCCAUGCCGCGUGAGUGAUGAAGGCCCUAGGGUUGUAAAGCUCUUUCACCGGUGAAGAUAAUGACGGUAACCAGAGAAGAAGCCCCGGCUAACUUCGUGCCAGCCGCCGCUGUAAAAC
rnacentral:rRNA from 1 species